rnacentral:rRNA from 1 species
UUAGAACGUCGUGAGACAGUUCGGUCCCUAUCUGCCGUGGGCGCUGGAGAAUUGAGGGGGGCUGCUCCUAGUACGAGAGGACCGGAGUGGACGCAUCACUGGUGUUCGGGUUGUCAUGCCAAUGGCACUGCCCGGUAGCUAAAUGCGGAAGAGAUAAGUGCUGAAAGCAUCUAAGCACGAAACUUGCCCCGAGAUGAGUUCUCCCUGAGACUUUAAGUCUCCUGAAGGAACGUUAAAGACGAUGACGUUGAUAGGCCGGGUGUGUAAGCGCAGCGAUGCGUUGAGCUAACCGGUACUAAUGAACCGUGAGGCUUAACCUU